UGUCAGGAAAAUGAUCUUACAAGAAAGAGCGUUUGCAAAGUCUGUCUGGAGAAUGACCAGGUCCUUCCUCUCAGGGGCACCACCACAAGACGAUUUGUAGGCCAUACAAAGGACGUGCUAAGUGUGGCCUUCUCCUCUGACAACCAGCAGAUUGUCUCUGGAUCCCGAGAUAAAACCAUUAAGUUGUGGAACACUUUGGGAUGAGAGCCACUCAGAGUGGGUGUCUUGUGUCCGCUUCUCACCCAACAGCAGCAACCCUAUCAUCGUCUCUUGUGGCUGGGACAAUCUGGUUAAGGUGUGGAAUCUGGCUAAUUGCAAGCUGAAGACCAAUCACGUUGGCCACACUGGCUAUCUGAACACAGUGACUGUUUCGCCAGAUGGGUCCCUCUGUGCUUCUGGAGGCAAGGAUGGCUCUGGGACUUCAAUGAAGGCAAGCACCUUUAUACGCUAGAUGGUGGGGAUAUCAUCAAUGUCCUGUGCUUCAGCCCCGACCGCUACUGGCUGUGUGCUGCUACGGGCCCCAGUAUCAAGAUUUGGGACUUAGAGGGCAAGAUCAUUGUAGAUGAGCUGAAGCAAGAAGUAAUCAGUACCAGCAGCAAGGCAGAGCCACCUCAGUGCACCUCUCUGGCAUGGUCUGAUGAUGGUCAGACUCUGUUUGCUGGCUACACAGACAACCUGGUGCGAGUGUGGCAGGUGACCAUUGGUACUCGCUAGAAAUUAUGGCACAAAUAAAAAA